CACACCGCCCGUCACACCAUGGGAGUCGAUUGCUCCAGAAGUGGCUGCGCCAACCCGCAAGGGAGGCAGGCCCCCAAGGAGUGGUUGGUAACUGGGUG
rnacentral:rRNA from 1 species